GAGCGCAGCGAACGAGUGAGAUAUCAUGUUCAACACGAGAAAUAAAUCUGGUAUUUCCAAGCACCCAUGUAUUUUUCUGUUUAUUAUAUAAACAAAAUUCAGUGAAAAACAAUAAAACGUCCGUGGCAAUGCGUUUUACAACAAAUGAUAUUUUCACGCGUAAAAAUAUCGUAUUUUUUACGUGUGUUUAAAUACGAUUUUUCUCAGUGGCCAAAAACUCUAUAUAACACUCAUGUUUAUAUAAUAAAUAGAUUUCACUGGUAUAGAUGUAGUUUAGUUGGUUAGAGCGCUGCAUCGCAAUCGCGUGUUCGAUUCCUGCCAGAGAGGUGAAUGGACGAAGGGACGAUGACUGUGUUAUUAUUCAUAAAUUGACUGUUAUUAUUCAUUUUUGCCAAACAACCAAUAGCAAUUUCCAAUUUACCCUAUUGUUCGAGUCACGGAUAGAUAACUUUCCUAAAACUUUGCUAUUGCCUGUAUUGGUUAGUUGGGCAAAAAUAUACAAUACGCACGAAGGACCAGAUUUAUGAAUAAGCGUUAACUAACAUAGAUAACGAGUUAUAUUGUUAUUCUAAUGAGUUUCACAGCCAUCUUUCCUUCGAUAGGCUAUGAUUAGAGCGAUCUCAAACCGAUCGGUGACUGGGUCCUUGGACUUCUUGUGGAAUGUCAAAAAAAUGGGAAAUUUUGUAUUCAAGUACAACAAAAAUGACUUGCAUCUUUGGAAAACGUACAAAAAUCGCAUAUAAGACUUUUAAACAGUUUUUUGAUUCUUCAAAUAGUCUUCGAGUUAUUGCUGUUUUAAAAUGUGAAAAUUGGACCAAAAUGUCGCAAUAAGGACUGGGUACUAGGUCAAAAUCGCGUUUUUGACAGCGUAUAACUCGAAAGCAAUUUGAGAAGAAAAAAAACUGUUUAAAUGUCUUAUAUGUAGGUUUUUGUAUAAGCUCAUUUUUGUUGUAAUUGAAUACAAAAUUUCACAUUAUGUAUAGGUCUUCACUCUUCAAAUAGUAUGUAAUAUUAAGUUAUUAACCCCUUCAAAUAGUAUGUUUGGUAUUAUUUAUUUCAAUCUAGUUG